AUUACCAGAUAGCCACGAGUGACGCUCUUCUUCCCAGCUCUGCCGCGUUUUCCUUUCGUAUUUCUCUUCAAACUCCGCCGGAAUCUGAAAAUCUCCGGCAGAUAUGGCUUCUGACCUGCCGAUGAGCCCUCAUUUGGAGCAGAUCCAUGGAGAAAUCCGUGACCUUUUUCGAGCCUGGGUUCCAGAGGUUUGAUAAGGUGAAGGAUUCUAAUAGACAAAGCAAGCAACUUGCUGGCAAGAUGAGAAACUCUAAAAGAUGUUUCUCUUUUUUUAGAUGUUUCUGAAUCGAGUUUUAAUGCGCGCUAAUCUUGUAAUGUAUUCAAAUUAGGUUGGUUAAAUAGUUUGAUCGUGAGCUCAAAGAUGGGGAAGCUCGAAACUCUCCUCAAGUAAAUAAGCAAUUGAAUGAUGAGAAACAAUCUAUGGUGUUUUGAUGAAAUUUAUGGAGGUUGUAAUCAUUUUGAGAUUCUAGCUUUUGUAAUAAUACUUCUGAAGUAAUCAUUGCAGUAGUUAAUGUGUUAUAGAUUCUAUGAACAUCACUAUUAGCAUUUUGGUUUCUGUGUCUUUUCAAAAUCUGCUUGUUGAUAUUUCCUCCGAUUUAUGUGACGGAUUAAGAAACUCAACUCUUAUGUUGCACUAACAAAAACGUAACUAGUACGCCUGUCAUGCCAUUUCCAAGACGCUGCAUUGUCUUUGCCUAUACUAUUUCACAUCGAUCCUUUUACCAAGUGUAUUUAAGAUGUUUGUGUUGUAUGACUUCAGGUACACUCGGCAACAAGAAAGUUGAUCUUUUUGGUACGGGAGCUGGAUUCAGCAGUGAAUCCACAGCAGAAGAAAACGUACAAAUGUCUUCAUCAAUAUCAAACCAAGAGCUUGUCGAUGCUGGAAUGAAGAGGAUGGACGAGAUUGAACACUCUAAACAGGUUGUUCAUCAGACAGUGGAAAUCGAUACUCAAACCGCAGCUAAUUUAAAGGGCCAGGCGGAUCAAAUGGGCCGGGUUGGGAAUGACCUAGACACAAUUCAGUUCUCUAUCAAGAAAGCUUCACAGCUGGUUAAAGAGAUAGAGAGACAGGUUUGCAUAAUCUAAUCUCCCUGGAGAUAAGUUUCUCAAUGCAAAAGCUAAUGAAGCUGUAGCUACAGAUACAUGCAUAAUGAUGUUCCUGUUUCUGAUUGUAGGUGGUGUCAUAGCCAUUAUUGUUGUGAAGAUCGUGAACCAAACAACAAAGACAUUAGAGACAUCCAGUGAUUAGCUCCUCCAGCGCAAUCGAAAAGGCUAUUAUACUUUAGGGAUCCAGACUAGAGUACAUCAGCUUUUGGCUAGACUGAGAAAGGACACUCCAUGGUCGAGAAGGGUUUGGUACAUAUUACACUUUGUGUUACAUGUAUGCUUUGAUGUUAAUUUGAAUCAGAGUUCCGAUUAGUGGUUUGUAUUAUAUCAUCAUUCUUUUAACCCUAUGCCCGUUUGUAAAAGUUUCAUAACAAGUUCUCACUAAUAUUAUUCUUUUCAAAAAAUCUCUCUUAUUCA